UACGAAGGGUGCAAGCGUUGCUCGGAAUUAUUGGGCGUAAAGGGUAUGUAGGUGGUAAUAAAAGUCUGGGGUGAAAUCCCUGAGCUCAACUCAGGACGUGCCUUGGAAACUUUAUUACUAGAGUGCUGGAGAGGUUUGCAGAAUUCCCGGUGUAGCGGUGAAAUGCGUAGAGAUCGGGAGGAAUACCAGAGGCGAAGGCGGCAAACUGGACAGUCACUGACACUCAACUACGAAAGCGUGGGUAGCAAACAGG
rnacentral:rRNA from 1 species